AGAGCGAACGCUGGCGGCAGGCCUAACACAUGCAAGUCGAGCGCUCGUAGCAAUACGAGAGCGGCAGACGGGAGAGUAACACGUGGGAACGUACCCUUCAGUUCGGAACAACCAAGGGAAACUUUGGCUAAUACCGGAUACGUCCGUAAGGAGAAAGAUUUAUCGCUGAAGGAUCGGCCCGCGUCUGAUUAGCUAGUUGGUGAGGUAAUGGCUCACCAAGGCGACGAUCAGUAGCUGGUCUGAGAGGAUGAUCAGCCUCACUGGGACUGAGACACGGCCCAGACUCCUACGGGAGGCAGCAGUGGGGAAUAUUGGACAAUGGGCGCAAGCCUGAUCCAGCCAUGCCGCGUGGGUGAUGAAGGCCCUAGGGUUGUAAAGCCCUUUCGGCGGGAAGAUAAUGACGGUACCCGCAGAAGAAGCCCCGGCUAACUUCGUGCCAGCAGCCGU
rnacentral:rRNA from 1 species